AGAAUCAACGCUGGCGGCGCGCCUAACACAUGCAAGUCGGACGAGAAAGUGGAGCAAUCCAUGAGUAAAGUGGCGUACGGGUGAGUAACACGUGGAUAACCUGCCCUUUAGUGGGGAAUACCGCUGGGAAACCGGCGACAAUACCGCAUAAGCUCGAGAGAGGAAAGCAGCAAUGCGCUGAAGGAGGGGUCCGCGGUCGAUUAGCUAGUUGGUGAGGUAAUGGCUCACCAAGGCUGUGAUCGAUAGCCGGCCUGAGAGGGCACACGGCCACACUGGCACUGAAACACGGGCCAGACUCCUACGGGAGGCAGCAGUGGGGAAUCUUGCACAAUGGGGGAAACCCUGAUGCAGCGACGCCGCGUGAGCGAUGAAGCCCUUCAGGGUGUAAAGCUCUUUCGGCAGGGAAGAUGAUGACGGUACCUGCAGAAGCAGCUGCGGCUAACUACGUGCCAGCAGCCGCGGUAAUACGUAGGCAGCAAGCGUUGUUCGGAGUUACUGGGCGUAAAGGGUGCGUAGGCGGUUCUGUAAGUAUGGUGUGAAAUCUCCCGGCUUAACUGGGAGGGUGCGCUAUAAACUGCGGGACUAGAGUGUGGGAGAGGAA
rnacentral:rRNA from 1 species